AUUUUACAACGCGAACCUUAACGGACCGGUGUGAAUAUUUUCUGUUCGGGAACGCGCUUAAUGCAAACAAUCGUUUUGUCUUUCGGAAAAUAUCUAAAUAAUUUUGUGCAAAUUAAAUGAAAAUUGUUUUGUAUUUCUACACUAGAAACAACUCUUCUUAAAACAAAGUGCGUGUGUGUGUGCAAUUGCAAGAAGAAAACUUGGAGUGUGUAACUAUAACUUCUUGAAGAAAAAAAAAAUCGUUAGAUUGUGAAAUCUGUGUAGGAAAACUAACACAGCUAAUGGUUUGGUACAUUUGAUCAAGGCAAAGCUCUUAUUAAGGAGAUUUAAAUUAUAACAAGAAAUCUUAAAGAAGUGUUAAUUUUUGCUUUUGUAAAAAUAAAUAAACGAGGAAAUACUAAGGAAAAUAAAAAUAUCAUACAAAAAAAUCUUUUUCAAAAAGUGAUUUCUCCAAAAAAUUAAAAAGCCUUCUAAAAAAAAAAUUCCACAGAAAGUGUACUCAUAUCUGUGCCUUUUGAAGCAUAAAAUUUUAAAGCAAAAAAAAAAAAA
rnacentral:sRNA from 1 species